rnacentral:rRNA from 1 species
UACGUAGGUGACAAGCGUUGUCCGGAUUUACUGGGCGUAAAGAGCGCGCAGGCGGUCGUUCAAGUCGAGUGUGAAAGCCCCCGGCUCAACUGGGGAGGGUCACUCGAUACUGAUCGACUCGAAGGCAGGAGAGGGUAGUGGAAUUCCCGGUGUAGUGGUGAAAUGCGUAGAUAUCGGGAGGAACACCAGUGGCGAAGGCGGGUCUCUGGGCCGAUAUUGACGCUGAGGAGCGAAAGCGUGGGGAGCGAACAGG